GACGAACGCUGGCGGCGUGCCUAAUACAUGCAAGUAGAACGCUGAAGAGAGGAGCUUGCUCUUCUUGGAUGAGUUGCGAACGGGUGAGUAACGCGUAGGUAACCUGCCUUGUAGCGGGGGAUAACUAUUGGAAACGAUGGCUAAUACCGCAUAACAAUGGAUGACACAUGUCAUUUAUUUGAAAGGGGCAAUUGCUCCACUACAAGAUGGACCUGCGUUGUAUUAGCUAGUAGGUGAGGUAAUGGCUCACCUAGGCGACGGUACAUAGCCGACCUGAGAGGGUGAUCGGCCACACUGGGACUGAGACACGGCCCAGACUCCUACGGGAGGCAGCAGUAGGGAAUCUUCGGCAAUGGGGGCAACCCUGACCGAGCAACGCCGCGUGAGUGAAGAAGGUUUUCGGAUCGUAAAGCUCUGUUGUAAGUCAAGAACGGGUGUGAGAGUGGAAAGUUCACACUGUGACGGUAGCUUACCAGAAAGGGACGGCUAACUACGUG
rnacentral:rRNA from 1 species